rnacentral:lncRNA from 1 species
CGUGGGUCUACCGACCUGGCUGCGGAGGUGAACGAGCGUAGAAGCAAGCGGGUGCCAGAGAAGAGAGCAGACUAUGGUCCUCUUAGAGCUUGGAGAAGCAUCCCUAGUCCACGAUCUGACCAUUCAGUCACCACCCAAGAUGCCAACGCAUUCAGAUUCUCGCGGGGAGACGGCCUAGGUACCCGGGCAGAGGGAUGAUCCCGCGCUCUGCGAAAAGCAACAGGCGGCUGCACCUUACCUUGCGCCAGUCCCGGGCCGGGGUGGCUGCUCCAUCCUCGUGGCUCAGGUAGGAGGCGUUGGGUGCGUAUGCUUAGGGGUGUGCGCGCUGCCAGGGCUGCAGCGGCCGCCACCUCCAACCAGCUGCAAGCCGAGCUGCCCACCUGGGACCGGGCCGGCCCGGCGGGCUUGGCUCCCGGCGAAGGCGGCGGCGUUGGUGCGCGGCGGCUGGGGCGCGGGACGCAGGCAGUGCGUGGCGCGGCUGGCGUCUUCGGGCGCCGCCAGCGAGCGAGGGUGCGGCCCCGGGCGGCCGUGCGGGGCACGACUUGGCUCGCGUUGCUGCGGCGGCCGCUGCAGACCCUGCUCCAGGCGCCGUAGCCUUGCAGGAAGAGCAGACAAAGACAGGAGAGAGGCAAAGCGCCGCUUGCCCAGAUGCAGUCGGCUCAGUCAAUAGAGGGAAAUCGCCUCCAAACCCAGGCUGGGAAUGAGGGAGGAGGGGCGAGGCGGCUGGGGACUAGAAAAGCAGCAGGGAAUUAACGUGACAGUCAGAGCCCAGCCAGCGCCUCGCCGGCGCUGCUCUCUCGCCUCGCGGUUGCGG